rnacentral:rRNA from 1 species
UACGUAGGGUGCAAGCGUUAUCCGGAAUUAUUGGGCGUAAAGAGCUCGUAGGCGGUUUGUCACGUCUGCUGUGAAAACUGGAGGCUCAACCUCCAGCCUGCAGUGGGUACGGGCAGACUAGAGUGCGGUAGGGGAGAUUGGAAUUCCUGGUGUAGCGGUGGAAUGCGCAGAUAUCAGGAGGAACACCGAUGGCAAAGGCAGAUCUCUGGGCCGUAACUGACGCUGAGGAGCGAAAGCAUGGGGAGCGAACAGG